rnacentral:lncRNA from 1 species
UUGUGCAAAGUGCACUUAUAGAGAGCAACACCGGGAGAGAUGACCGAAUUCUCUACAAGAAGUUGAUCGACAUGAACUUGUGAAGUUUGUUGCAGGAUUAGCUAGUGGAUUAUUAUCAAAUUUCAGUGCUGCCUUUUCAAUGAAUUGUUUAAUGGUGAACAAACGAUGCCCUAGAAUAGACUUGAAUUAUUGGCUAGUGAUUAAAUAAUCUAAAACCGAAUCAUUACAGAAUAGUUGAUACUCGUGCAAAGUAUUUUUCAUAGUGGGCAUUCAGUUCUUACUCAGUGUGCAAUAUGGCUAUCUCCAAUAUGACGAUUAUAUUCUCUAGCCUAUGCCAGACAAUGUACAAGGCAGGUGGAAGUUGCAGAAUCUGUCUGUCUCUACGAUGAUAUUCGUCUUUAAACAUAUUACCCUCCAACUUAUUUCCCUUCUUAUUAAGUUAUGGUUUAUCAUUCUGUUGUUGUGUUGGUUGGGUUGGGGGUUUGGGGUUAUAUCGUCUCGCGGUUAUGGAGAUGUUUUUUGUUUUUUUGUCUUUGAUGUAGGUGUGAGCAGGCACAGAUUUAUAAAGCAUAUAACUACGAUCGAAAUUUAGGAAGGUGAAAACAUCUGACGUGAGUGUGCACAUGUAAAAAUGGCGAAUGCCUGUGUGAGCAGGCACAGUUAGUUGGUGAAUCACCCUAUAUAUAUGGUCAAAAUGUUCUUUACGUGUAUAUAUA